GGGGACGUAGCUCAGGGGGAGAGCGCUUGACUCACAUUCAAGAGGUCGGAGGUUCGAAACCUCUCGUCCCCACCA
rnacentral:tRNA from 1 species